GACGAACGCUGGCGGCGUGCCUAAUACAUGCAAGUCGAACGCAGUGGGGACGGGUGAGUAACACGUGGGUAACCUCCCAUCAGAGGGGAUAACACUUGGAAACAGGUGCUAAACCGAUACUGAUGGAUGGACCCGCGGUGCAUUAGCUAGUUGGUGAGGUAACGGCUCACCAAGGCCACCAUGCAUAGCCGACCGUCGAGGGGGAAUGGCCACACUGGGAAUGAAACACGGCCCAGAACCCCACGGGAGGACACAAGUAGGAAACUUCGGCAAAGGGAGAAAGUCUGACCGAGCAACGCCGCGUGGGGGAAGAGGGUUUUCCGAACGUAAAACCCUGUUGUUAGGAAAGCGGUAUCUAACCAGAAAGCCACGGCUAACUACGUGCCAGCAGCCGCGGUAAUUC
rnacentral:rRNA from 1 species